AUGGAAUUCUACAGGCAAGAAUACUGGAGUGGGUUGCGUUCCUUUCUCCAGGGGAUCUUCCUGACCCAGCGAUCGAGCUGCAACCGUCUGCAUUGCAGGCAGAUUCUUUACCAUCUGAGCCACCAGGGAGGCCUUCUCUUGCUAAGUUAUGACCAAUUCAGAAGCCUGAAGAUUGAUGUAUCAUGUAUGGCACCCUUUUAUCUAAUCAGAGAUGGCUGGCAAAAUGGAGAAAAUGACCCAGGGCAGGGGAUGAAAGACUGCAGGCUUUCCUCAGGGCUGGAGCAAAUCCAAAUUCCAGACUCAGGACCAUCCACUGGAGAGAUGGACUUGUACUCUCCAGGGUACUGAAGAAGUGCCUGUCCCAGCAUCACCCAAGGAGGAUGCCCCCUCUCUGGGCACAGAGUGAAGAUCAAAUCACAGCGGAGGAUGAGAUGAUCCUAACACUUCACAUAAGGAGUUUCCUACAAUUCCUUCAUUGGCAGUAUUGCCAAUACUCUAGAGGAGAGAGACUUAGAGGUUAAAAAAAAAAAAAUUAUAGGUGUCCUGCAAUUAUAGCUAUAAAGUAAUAGCAGGUUGUUUUAUAAAUAUUUAUGUUGCACAUUAAAAAGAUUCCAUAGUGUGGCAGAGGCCACUCAAGUUCCACAGUAUCAACUCCCUUUCCUUCUCAAGCAAUAAAAAUCCUUGAGUUUUGUCUGGGCACUAAGCCAUGCUGAAAAAUGAGUUUAUUCUUGAGAUAUAAUUCUGAAUAAUAGGAUUGCACAGAAAUGAUGUGUGAAAUCUCCAGG
rnacentral:lncRNA from 1 species